AUUGAACGCUGGCGGCAUGCCUUACACAUGCAAGUCGAACGGCAGCACGGGAGCAAUCCUGGUGGCGAGUGGCGAACGGGUGAGUAAUAUAUCGGAACGUGCCCAGUCGUGGGGGAUAACGUAGUGAAAGCUACGCUAAUACCGCAUACGAUCUACGGAUGAAAGCGGGGGAUCGCAAGACCUCGCGCGAUUGGAGCGGCCGAUAUCAGAUUAGCUAGUUGGUGAGGUAAAGGCUCACCAAGGCGACGAUCUGUAGCUGGUCUGAGAGGACGACCAGCCACACUGGAACUGAGACACGGUCCAGACUCCUACGGGAGGCAGCAGUGGGGAAUUUUGGACAAUGGGCGCAAGCCUGAUCCAGCAAUGCCGCGUGCAGGAUGAAGGCCUUCGGGUUGUAAACUGCUUUUGUACGGAGCGAAACGGUCUUCUCUAAUACAGGGGGCUAAUGACGGUACCGUAAGAAUAAGCACCGGCUAACUACGUGCCAGCCGCCGCAGUAACAC
rnacentral:rRNA from 1 species